rnacentral:rRNA from 1 species
GAUACUGGCUCAGGACGAACGCUGGCGGCGCGCCUAACACAUGCAAGUCGAACGGAGCUUAAAGAGCUUGCUUUUUAAGCUUAGUGGCGAACGGGUGAGUAACGCGUGAGUAACCUGCCCUGGAGUGGGGGACAACAGUUGGAAACGACUGCUAAUACCGCAUAAGCCCACGGCCCGGCAUCGGGCUGCGGGAAAAGGAUUUAUUCGCUUCAGGAUGGACUCGCGUCCAAUUAGCUAGUUGGUGAGGUAACGGG